AACGAGCGCUGGCGGCGUGCUUAACACAUGCAAGUCGAACGCGAAAGUUUUCUUCGGAAAGCGAGUAGAGUGGCGCACGGGUGAGUAACGCGUAAGUAAUCUACCCUGGUAUAUGGGAUAACCCACCGAAAGGUGAGCUAAUACCGUAUACGCUGAUUUAUCAGGAAAGGUGGCCUCUUCAUGAAAGCUACUGUACUAGGAGGAGCUUGCGUACCAUUAGCUAGUUGGUAGGGUAAUGGCCUACCAAGGCAACGAUGGUUAGCGGGUCUGAGAGGAUGAUCCGCCACACUGGAACUGGAACACGGACCAG
rnacentral:rRNA from 1 species